rnacentral:rRNA from 1 species
UACGGGGGGAGCAAGCGUUGUUCGGAUUUACUGGGCGUAAAGGGCGCGUAGGCGGCCACCGCAAGUCGACUGUGAAAUCUCCGGGCUUAACCCGGAAAGGUCAGCCGAUACUGCGGGGCUAGAGUGCAGAAGGGGCAACUGGAAUUCUCGGUGUAGCGGUGAAAUGCGUAGAUAUCGAGAGGAACACCUGCGGCGAAGGCGGGCUACUGGGCCGAUACUGACGCUGAUGCGCGAAAGCCAGGGGAGCGAACGGG